rnacentral:rRNA from 1 species
UACGGGGGGGGCAAGCGUUGUUCGGAAUUACUGGGCGUAAAGGGCUCGUAGGCGGCCAACUAAGUCAGACGUGAAAUCCCUCGGCUUAACCGGGGAACUGCGUCUGAUACUGGAUGGCUUGAGUUUGGGAGAGGGAUGCGGAAUUCCAGGUGUAGCGGUGAAAUGCGUAGAUAUCUGGAGGAACACCGGUGGCGAAGGCGGGUCUCUGGGCAGUAACUGGACGCUGAGGAGCGAAAGCGUGGGGAGCGAACAGG